AGAAACCGGAGAAUGAUUUAUCUGAGGUUGAAAUGAUGAAAGAGCUAUUUGCUAAGCUUCUGCUUGGAGAAGACAUGUCAGGUGGGGGGAAGGGCGUUUGUACAGCUCUUGCCAUCUCCAAUGCCAUUACAGAUCUCUAUGGUUAGUAAAAUUACUUCCUUUUGGGUUUGUUUUGGGUUAAUUUUAUCUGAAUUCAAGAAUUUGAUAACUUCCGCAUCAUUUUUUCAUUUUUUCCUGCUGGAGUCAUUUGGCUACUUGAGAAAAAAAAAAGAAAGGAG
rnacentral:misc_RNA from 1 species